GGCUAAUUAGCACAGGGGGGAGGCUAAUGCUCAUUAACCAAAAGAUGGCGUCGCAAGAAAGUUCACGGAGCUGACCUUGUAAUAGAGCGGGAAGGACACGUUGCCGAACCAGUCGUACGCGAUGUGAUCCCACCACACGUACAACCACUUUCCAGUCCAGGAGAUGAAGCGCCACAUCCUGGGGGGCUCCGGCGGCGCUGUGAACAAAGACAUUACAUUUAAGACCUUAUCCGAAAUGUGGGUGUGGAUGGCUGGCGCACACACCAAACGAAAAAAGGAGGACCCUGAUGAAGAUGAUGUAGAGGCUGUACGGCUGGAGGCCCGGCAGACGUCCCUCGGUCUGGUUCCCACUGAAGCAUAACGGUGGAGACCGCCCCAAAACCUCAUGGCUACUUCAUCUACCCUACUAUCACCGGAAAACCCAAUCCCUUAGCCCCUCGCUUACUUUCCAGGAGAUGACCAGGUUACCAGGUUCUGUUCCUUCUCCAUGAACAUCUGAAGGAUUCUCAUCAGGGGCUGGAAUGCCAAAGAAAGCAGACUCCUUUAAUAGGCUACUUUUAAAUAUUAAAUUUGUGUUAGAUACCUACCUGCUGGGUUGGUUCUGUACUGGCGCGACGGCUGGCUGGGUUGGCUGUAGCCCACCUGAUUCUUUGCCAGAACCCGGAAGGAGUAGUAGACAUACGGCGAGAGGUCCAGUUGCGCCGUGGUCCUCGUACCGGCAACCUCUGUCAUGUUGACCCAGAUGCCGGGCUCGUGCAGCAAAUCCU